AGUGACCCUGUUUUAGUUGUCAUGGUAACUGAUACAAUCCUCCUAUAUUAAAUAGCACAAUGAGAACAGUUUCCAAUUUAUUAGUCUUACUUGGAAUCUACAUUGUCGUGUACAGAA
rfam:Lottia gigantea unplaced genomic scaffold LOTGIsca_28, whole genome shotgun sequence.